rnacentral:rRNA from 1 species
CCUACGGGGGGCAGCAGUAGGGAAUCUUCCACAAUGGGCGAAAGCCUGAUGGAGCAACGCCGCGUGGGUGAAGAAGGUCUUCGGAUCGUAAAACCCUGUUGUUAGAGAAGAAAGUGCGUGAGAGUAACUGUUCACGUUUCGACGGUAUCUAACCAGAAAGCCACGGCUAACUACGUGCCAGCAGCCGCGGUAAUACGUAGGUGGCAAGCGUUAUCCGGAUUUAUUGGGCGUAAAGGGAACGCAGGCGGUCUUUUAAGUCUGAUGUGAAAGCCUUCGGCUUAACCGGAGUAGUGCAUUGGAAGCUGGGAGACUUGAGUGCAGAAGAGGGGAGUGGAACUCCAUGUGUAGCGGUGAAAUGCGUAGAUAUAUGGAAGAACACCAGUGGCGAAAGCGGCUCUCUGGUCUGUAACUGACGCUGAGGUUCCUUGACCCCUGUAGUC